UUCCACACGCUUUCAAAAAAUAAAUAUUGAAAAUUUUCUUCCAACUUGCAACCAUGUAAGCAUAGAUAUGAUAGAACAAGUUAACCUUUGUUAGAACUUAGAAGCCUAUUUUGAACUAGACGCCAAGCAAAUCUUGAAGAGGUAAUGGCUCCUCGAUCAUAUCUUGAGUGAGCAUCACUAUGGUCAAGCCCACUUGUUUCAUACAUUUUAUUGCAAUCAAAUGUUAGCCAACAACUAAGGUGAGUCCGUUUGGUCCAACGUUGGAUUCAGCAUGAAUAAUUAAGUGAAGUAUCUAGCUAGAUACUAGUAGAUUUUGAGGCGGUGUAAUUACUUGCUCUUUGUUUAUCAUUGGUAAUGUUGUAAACAUCUUUCUUUGUUCAAUUCAAGUUUGAGUACAUUUGUUUAUAUUCAAACUUAAUACUUGUUACACAG
rnacentral:lncRNA from 1 species